AUCGCAUUCUACACUCUGUCUGCAGUGCACAUGUAUAUCCAUCGUAGGAGACCACACCGGGGAUAACGUUCCCACCCACUGCCCAGUUUGCAAGUGUCUUCCAAUUCAUCAUGGCGGUGGGUGUAGUAAUAGUUAGUUAGCCUGCACACCCGGGUGCUUUUACUUCGACCAAAGAGUAUGCAUGGGAAAUUGGACAAAGCUAACGUUAUAUACUACCUGCGUUUAAAACACAAAGGUCUAAGAACUGCAGCAUGUUGAAAAAAAUUGGCUAAAACGGAACACUGUGACAUACCCUCCCCCUUGCCUUGGUUGCUAAAACUAACGUUCAUUUAGCUAGCUGACUGGCUAAAGCUAACAAUCGCUUAGCUAGCUGACUGGCUAAAGCUAACGUUCACUUGGCUAGCUGACUGGCUAAAGCUAACGUUCAUUUAGCUAGCUGACUGGGCUAACGUCGUCCGCGGAAGUGGACAGUGAAUGUUUUUGCGGGAAGCUUCAGGACCAGAACACAGACCUACUGUUGAAAACCUGAGAGCACCCAUUAGAUAGGUGUCACAGUCUCCCAAGUGAUGGAGAGUGGGGAUGAUGAGAUGGAGAUGACCGUGGGGGAGCUUCAGGGCUGGAUACAGGAGGAGGUGGAGAAUCAAGACUUGGUGAAACUCAGGAGGACCCAGCUGGCCCAGAUGCAGAACCUAGUGCAGCGGAAGGAGAAGCAGGCCCUCUGCACCCGCACCCUUUUCAACACUGCCUGCGAGUCUGUGGUGGAGUGUGAGACCGUUAUGAAGGCGCUGUACAGCAAACUGGGCAUGGAGUACAGAGACACAGACUCUGAAGAUGAAGGAGUGGGCCAGCAAAGUAUCAUUGAGAUCGAUGAUGGGGACGCUGACAGAAACGACAACACCAUGGCCACAGACGGAGUUGCUGCUUCCGAUUCGGCUCCUGGAGAAGUCCCAGCUACAGACAGUGACACAGAAAAUUACAAUGACAUGGCAGAUGACAUGGAGAGCAUGCCAUCCUCUCCAGCUGUGACCACCCCUUUUGUGACUGUAACUGUUGCCCCAAAUGAAGCCUCAAACUCUAAUGAUACCCCAGCAACUCCCCUUGCGGAGUCUGAGUCUGAACCACCAAGUCCACAAGAAGACAGUGGCGAUGAGUAUACUCCAUCAAAAUCAAAAAAGAUCUCAACAAAACGUCCAGAAUCCAGCAAACGUGGACGGCCAAGAAAAGGUGGAAAAGGUGAAAGGAAGAGAAGAGAAUCUGUCCGAACCAAGCAUCAACUUGUGUCUUACAGGGAAGACUCACCUCCUGCCCCAACAAAUCCUUCUGUGCCAUCGAAACCACAAAAGCCCAGAGCAGGUGACUGCUCUGCGUCGACAAAACAGCAGAACUCAAGCAAAAGUGGCACAGCUUCCCCACCAAAAUUACAGGAGGCCAGCAAAAGUGGUUCCACUGUCCCAUUAAAACAACAAGAGGCCAGAAAAGAAACGUCCACUCCAUUUGUGGUGACCAGCGUGUCGCAAGCUCCGACACAUGCACCAAACCCUGCCACUCAGCCACCUCCCGGCCUCACAGAGGAGGAGAUUAAGACUGAUAUGAAGGUCCUGGCUAGGAGGAGGACCAAGACCUGGCACUCAGGAAGGAUUACAGAAAUCAAACCAUCAGAGAAUGGAAGCAGGUAUAAGGUGGACUUUAGCGAGAAAGGGAGAAGCAUGCUGUCAGGACACCACAUAGCCUUUGACCAGACUGCUUCACUGGAGAGGCUGUACGUGGGUGUGCGCGUGGUGGCCAAGUUCAAGGACGCCGAGCAGUCCUGGUUCUACUCUGGCAUUCUGGCUGAGCUCCCCAACCGAAAGAACCGCAUGAGGUUCCUGGUCUUUUUUGAUGACGGCACACCUUCCUAUGUCGGUUUGCCGGAUCUUCACAUUGUUUGCAGACCACUGCCGGAGGUGUGGGAGGACAUAGAGGAUGAGGCCAACAGGGAGUUCAUCAAGGAUUACAUCAAGGUGUAUCCCAACCCGCCUAUGGCCCAGUACAGACCAGGCCAGCCCAUCAAUGUGGAGUUUGAGGGGAUCCAGAGGAGGACAGAAGUAGAGCAGAUUGACUGCAGCUUGUUGUGCGUCGUCUUCAAGGAUGACGAACAUAAGGAAUGGGUGUACCGAGGCUCUUUGCGUCUGGAGCAUAUGGCCAACAUGAAGAAACGUGUUGAGGAGGCAAAGGAUAAACCAACAGUGACACGGCCCAACAGUGGGGGAGCAGUUUCGACUACUACUACAAUCCACCAGACUAGCACGGCUGCUGCCAACAAACCUCACGUCAACCCCUCGUCAACAGUAAUACCAGCGCAGGUCACUUCCAACAAUGUCAGCCAGGGCCAGCCAGCUGCUGGUAAACAGUCAGCAUCCGUAGGGAGGCCCUUUGGCCAGGAUCGUACGACUGACAAGGAGUCGUCUGUCAUCACAGCUAAAGGUUCGGUCACCUUCACUCCCCACCGUUGCUGCCCCGCCUGCCUGAACUGCAUCCGGUCAAAGGUUGAGGCCAAGCACCGUGGACGCAACCCGCUGCUCAUCCCCCUGCUCUGCGAGUUCCGCCGCAUGAAGGGCCGCCACCGGGUCAAUAACAAGACGUAUUUCCACAUAUUUUACCGGUCGCCGUGUGGCCUCAGCCUGAGCAACAUGACUGCUGUGCAGGACUACCUUCAACAGACACGCUGUGACUUCCUCUUCCUGGACAUGUUCUGCCUAGACCCCUUUGUGUCUGUGACCACCACUCACCAGCCCCGGCCCUACAAGAUCAACAUCCCAGACCUGACGCUGGGCAGAGAGAACCAGCCGCUGUCCUGCAUCAACGAGCUCAACAGCAUCCGGCCACUCUCGGUGAUCUACAACAAGCAGCGUGUCGCAGCCAGUGGGGUCUCCAUCAACACCAGUUCAGACUUUCUGAUGGGCUGCGACUGCACCGACGGCUGCAGGGACAGGUCGGCAUGUUCCUGUCACCAGCUGACCAUCCAGGCCACAGCCCUGUUGCCAGCGGGCCCUGAGGACGUCAACGCUGGCUACACACACAAGAGGCUGGAGAAACGCCUCUCCACAGGUAUAUAUGAGUGCAAUGCACUGUGCCGCUGUGACCCACGGGUGUGCUCUAACCGGGUGGUGCAGCAUGGCCUUCAGCUGCGGCUACAGCUCUUCAUGACCGUGGGGAAGAGCUGGGGAAUCCGCUGCCUGGAUGACAUUGCCAAGGGCACCUUCAUCUGCACCUACACUGGGAUAAUCAUGAACAAGAAGAGUUUGAGCACAGAGGGCAACAUGUAUAUGGUCAACCUGAACCACAUAGAGGGAGCUGAGAGCAAGGAGGGUUACGAGAGUGAGGCCCGCUGCUCCGACAAUGAGUCAGGUUCAGAAGAGCCCAUAGAAGAAGACAACAGUGAACAUGAUGAUGACUGUGAUGAAGAGGGAAACCACGACAAAGAGCCGCUACGUAUGAAGAACUUAUAUGAUGAAGAACCCAGUGACUAUGAGGACAGUUAUGAGGACAAGGAUUAUGAUGUCAGUGAAGAUGAUGGCGGCUCUGAUGAUGACUUCAGGCACAACGUCUCCUCUAUGGAGAGGAGCUACGUCACCCGCAGGCAUGCCAAAAUACUACAGGAGGACCCAGCGAAGAAAUCGGGCUCUGCCGCCAAAUCUUCUGACCAGCAGGAUGGUACAGCAGAGGGAAAUGACAAGGAGGCCUCAAAUGCCACUAGGCAUUUCUUUGAUGGGGAGGAGUCAUGCUACGUCAUCGACGCAAAGCUGGAGGGGAAUGUGGGUCGUUACCUCAAUGAAAGAGGCCCUGUCAAGGUCCCUCUAAUCUAGGGAGGAAGGGAACGGCAUGGAACUGCCAGCCCACCUACUGUUUGUGCGCGUCAUAGCUGCCAACCAAACCUGUUUGCGCAGAAUGUUUUUGUGGACACACAUGACCUUCGAUUCCCCUGGGUGGCCUUCUUUGCCAGCAAGCGCAUUAGAGCUGGUACAGAGCUGGCGUGGGAUUAUAAAUGUGAGCUUGGUGUGAAAAGGUCGUCAAGAGUCCUGAAUUGUCGCUGUGAUCCAGAGUGCAGGGAAAAGUUAUGAAAGCCCAUACUAUUACUUCCAGCUUCACCGCUGCAGUAAAUGUACGAAUAUACUGUAAUAGGUAGUCUUAACCUUUUUUCAAUAAAAAAAUGAACGUUUUUGUA